GAUGAACGCUAGCGGCAGGCUUAACACAUGCAAGUCGAGGGGCAGCAUGAGACGGAGAUUCGUCGAAGUCUUGAUGGCGACCGGCGCAAGGGUGCGUAACGCGUGAGCAACUUGCCCGUUUCUGGGGGAAUAACCGGUGGAAACGCCGACUAAUACCCCAUAGCAUAUUUAGGAGGCAUCUCUAUAAAUUUAAAGCUCCGGCGGAUACGGAUUGACUCGCGUGACAUUAGCUAGAUGGUAAGGUAACGGCUUACCAUGGCGACGAUGUCUAGGGGAACUGAGAGGUUGGUCCCCCANACUGGAACUGAGACACGGACCAGACUCCUACGGGAGGCAGCAGUAAGGAAUAUUGGGCAAUGGAGGCAACUCUGACCCAGCCAUGCCGCGUGAAGGACGAAGGGCCCCUACGGGGUCGUAAAACUUCUUUUGUCAGGGAAUAAAGUCGCCUACGCGUAGGCGUUUGCAGGUACCUGAAGAUAAGCAUCGGCUAAACUCCGUGCCAGCAG
rnacentral:rRNA from 1 species